rnacentral:rRNA from 1 species
UACGGAGGGUGCAAGCGCUAUCCGGAUUCACUGGGUUUAAAGGGCGCGUAGGCGGCUCGGCACGUCCGUUGUGAAAUCGCCCGGCUCAACUGGGCGGGGUCGGCGGAUACGGCCGAGCUGGAGCAAGCUAGGGGGUAAUGGAAUUCCCGGUGUAGUGGUGGAAUGCGUAGAUAUCGGGAGGAACACCAGUGGCGAAGGCGGUUACCUGGAGCUUUGCUGACGCUGAUGCGCGAAAGCGUGGGGAGCGAUCCGG